rnacentral:lncRNA from 10 species
UGUUUAUGUUACAAUAAUUCCUAUGUCACAGUUGUGUUAAAGAAGAGUUUGUAUCUAGGUGAGGGAAUAGAAAGAGAUUUCAAGAUGUGGGUGUAAAAACCAGCUGUUUCAUGAAAUAUGAACCAGAUUUCAGUUUGGGAUUCAGCACUGGUAUAGAAGUGCAGACAUGCAAUGAAGUUCAAGAUUAUAAAGGGUCCAUUUUGGCUAAAAUAUAAAUCAUAGGUAGUGGAGGAUAUUGGAGAGGAUUCUAAAUGCCCAGUUAAGAAGCUCACACACAGUGGGCUUGACCCUAAGGAACUGUUGAGGCUUUUUAAGCAAUGACAUGAUAGAAGAUG